rnacentral:misc_RNA from 1 species
GGAAAAAAAAAUACAUAUAUAUACAUAUUUGAAAUCUCAUACAUAUUUUACAAUAUAUUAGCACUUUACAUAAACUCUUCUCCUAUUUAUUUUCUCUCUUUUUUUUAUGUGUUUAUUAAUUAAAUAGUUUUUCUCAUAAAAAGUAAAGCAAGUGUUUAGUUUACGGCUAGGUUAUUCUGUGUGUCAAAAAAAUUUAUGCGUGUAAGAAUGAAAGCUCAAAAGGCUGCAAAGGGUAAUUUUUACAUAAGAGAAGUCUAAGGUUAUAAUUUAAGUUAAACACAAAGAAUAUCUUAAUUAUAUCUUAAUCAAGUGUUAGCUUAGAAUUUCAUCUCAAUAGCACUAGAAGGUCUAUUAUAGGAUUGGUGAGACAUUAAUUGGCCAAAUCAUGCCUAGAGUUUCUUUAAGCACUCAAGAACUACAUGAAAAAUUAAUAAAAGCAUACCUAAUUAAAUUGACUAACUCUUAGCUAAGAAGCAAAUAAUAAAAAUCAAUCUUAUACCUAUCCAGCAAUUUUAGUCCAUCUAACCCAUAAGAGCAAGAUUAUUCAUUUUUCAAAAUAAUUUUUACUUUUCCAAAGGCAAGGAAAAAUUAUUUCAUGAAAUGCAUGCCUAAAAUAUGCACUAAUGAAUUAAAAAUCUAUAAGAAAGUGCAACUAACUGUAAAUAAGUGUGAAUGUGCAAAGUGUAAUUAUUUACAAGUAUGAGUAUAUAUGUAUGUAAUUAUAUGCAAUCUACUUGAUAAGAAGAUGCAAGAAAAAUUAAAAAUCUGACAAAAUUUUGCAAAAAUUUUGCCUGACUCCCCCAAACUCAAAAUAGAGUCUCUCAAGAGUGUGGCAAGGGAAAUGCAAUUAGGCAAGAAAAGAAAAUUUCAGAAGCUGUAAAAGGAGUUGCAGGGGUCAUGUAAAGACAUACUUCAAUUUACACUGGUCAUGUAAAGACAAUUUUCAUUUCAAAAGAACAAGUUAUAAUACCCUGGUGUAAAUAAAAAAUGUAAUAACACGACUUGUGUAAGCUAAUAAAGUAUAGAAUUCAAAUAGCUAAAAUGACCUGGAAUUGAAUUGCAUGAGCAGCGUAAAGUCAUGUAAACUAAUAAAGUAUAGAAUUCAAAUGGCUAAAAUGACCUAGAAUUGAAUUGCAUGAGCAGUGUAAUGAUAUGUUUCAGAUUACCCUACUCGUGUAAAGGCAAAUCUUAGAAGAAAUCAUUACCUGAUAGAGCUGGUGCAAUU